GCUGGACUGCUUGGUGGUUGUUUUUUGUAGCUACACAGUAUAAGAAUUUUCACUCUUUCGUUUUCAAAAUAUUUUUUUUUUCGCUAUUUCAGGUCUUUCCAGGAUAGAUAUAACCCUUCCCUGGGUCAGAAAAAUCCUCUUAAGAUGUCCACAGGCCACCCUCGGUCAUCCAAAGUUUGUAUCUGAGUGCUAGCCCCGCACGCUUCACUGUGGAAAGUGCUUCAGCAGGCAACUAAGUAAGUUUGGGAAAUGCUACGUUUUAUAUCUCCUUCAGAA
rnacentral:lncRNA from 1 species